UAAGAAGGGGGCUAGCGUUGCUCGGAAUCACUGGGCGUAAAGAGCACGUAGGCGGAUCUUUAAGUCAGGGGUGAAAUCCUGGAGCUCAACUCCAGAACUGCCUUUGAUACUGGGGAUCUCGAGUCCGGAAGAGGUGAGUGGAACUCCGAGUGUAGAGGUGAAAUUCGUAGAUAUUCGGAAGAACACCAGUGGCGAAGGCGGCUCACUGGUCCGGUACUGACGCUGAGGUGCGAAAGCGUGGGGAGCAAACAGG
rnacentral:rRNA from 1 species